rnacentral:snoRNA from 1 species
UCCGUUGAUGACCAUGAUAAAAAUACAAACUAGAGUUUCUGAAAAUCCUUGAUUAGAAUCUAAUCAUGCUUAAUGCAAACUGAGG